CAGACGUGAAGGCUGGAAGUUACUGAGACGUCCAAAAAUAACAACAGGUAGAGUGGAUCUCAAAGGUCUACAACCCUGGCAAAAUGUCAGGUUUUUGUGGUGAAAAAAUGAGGCCAUGAUAAAUCAUUUUAAUUCCUCCUGUUUAAAUAAAAGGGGAAAAUGUGGAAAGUAAAAAGGCGACAAUGGUGUCCACAACCUGAAAAUAAUACUUCUGAUCCAGCUCCAGCAUUUAGUCCCUUUGUCUGUCAGCAUCUUACAUCGUGACUUCUGUUCAAGUUCUCCAGAUCUUGAGGGUGACUUCAGCUCAUUUGUAUCCAAAACAGUUUCUGCAGUUGUGGACCCAAAGGUUAACUUUGGUUUUAGGAGAUUGUAGCCAGGCACAGAUGUCUUGUUUCUGGAAGGUUUGUCUGCGGGUUUCCAGCCUUAGUCCAGUCAUGUGGAGAACCCAGGAGGUUUCUGUCAUGUGUAGAACACGACCAGAACUCCUUGAGUGUUAUUGUGAAUCUGUUCUCCUGACCGGUUUCCAGAUUUUCUUCACUGUCCCAUAGUAUAUAAAUAAUGUACCCGAUGUCAGGAUCUGGAGUUUUUGUGUGAAUGUGUUUUUCUUUUAUUUACCUUGUUCACUUCUCAGGUGUGCUGGGUGACAGGUGCGACUAAUCUGCUGAUUGUUUGGAGGUGUACUUAAGCAGGAGGCUGCCAGCACUUCACCGCCAGAGUGUUUGCCUUCAGUGAGACAAGCUCAAGCCACAACUAAUCUUUGCGUGGCUCUUAGUAACCUUUGUUUGUGCUCCUUUGCAGGUUGUUUUACCUGAAUCUUCGGAUAACUCUUGUUGAUUUCUGACUUCGCUCUCAGCAUCGCUUUGCUGUUUUGGAUUUUCAACUUCUGGAGAAAGGUCUCCAAUUUUUGCUGAUUAAGAUCCAAGAUUCCUGUUUACUUCGUCUGGACAGCAACCAGCUGGCAGCUUCCUUUUUCACCAUCAUCUGAAGCUUGGCGUAAGCAUAACCUGUUCACCCCCCAUCGCAAGUACCUUCAUCCUGAACUCAUCGUCAUUCCUCACAGAUCUCUCGAGCCUUACCAGAAAAACCUCUGUGCUGAACACUCAGACUCCGAAUCCCUCAACCCCCCCCUGGCGGUUAGACUACUCCAACGUAUGUUUUCAUCUGCCUGUGGGUCAGAACUAUCUCGAUCAAAAUGACACCCUCCUCCUGAUUGAUACCUUCAUACAAUGAGGUCAUUCACGAGCUUUCUGCUGGUCCAGAGCUGAACCUUAUUCCAGCACAUCCUGGCUGUCGCUCGGUUCAGCUGCCUUCUCCUGCAGCAGCAGUCUAAAGCUGGGCACGCUCAUUGCUCCUCCAGGCACCUGUGAGGGUGAAAAAUAUCUGCUCGUCCUCGUCUGCAGGACGGCACGCCCACUGGAUGCCCAGUGAUUACAAGCAGACAACUGUAUAAUUCACUUCUUUCCUACUAUCCUGCAGAAACAGACGCUUGGAGCUAAAAGUGAGCCACAUUCUGGUGCUGGAAUAAAAACAGCCGACAUGCAAACAGAACGCUUUCUUCUGCACUCGGUUUCUGAGGAUCCAGCUGUGUAUGACUCUGUGGGACAUAAAUCACAGCAGAAAUCAGCAGCUCUGCUUGGUAUUGUUGCUCAGGGCCAACAGGCUGCUGAAGCCUCAGACCCUAAAACCAAAACAGCACCAAGUUCUUGGAAACAUCUGACAGAAACUUGGUGUAGACCUGUCAGUCUGGAGGAAUCAUCUCAUGCAUGUAAACACCGAUGCAGUCAGGAAACUUGAAUUUCUGUCAAACAGUUCCUAACAUCUCGAUCAGUUAAAACAGUUGCUUUAGACCAGAAUCUGGAAAAAGUUCCAUUAUUGAAUCUAAGCUUGUAAACACACUGCCUCAUAAAAGUCUUCAUGCCUUUAAAUGUUCUAAGUUUUGUCCAAAAACAAAAUGUUAGGGUUUUUAUCGAGACCUUCGGUGACAGAUCAACACAACGUAGUUCAGAACUGUGACGGCAGUGGAUGAAGAUUCAUGAUUUUCAACGUUUUUACUAAUAAAAAUCUGAAAAGUG